GAGGCUCUGUUGUAGUAACCGAUUCAGUUGUUGUCAGAUGCUCUGUUGUAGUAACUGAUCCUGUUGUUGUUUGAGGUUCUGUUGUAGCCACUGAUUCAGUAGUUGUUAGAGGAUCCGUUGAAGUAACUGAUUCAGUUAAUGUUUGAGGUUCUGUUGUAGUCACUGAUUCAGUAGUUGUGAGAUGUUCAGUUGAAGUAAUUGAUUCAGUUGUUGUUUGCGGUACUGUUGAAGUAACUGAUUCAGUUGUUGUUCGAGUUUCUGUUGUUGUAACUGAUUCAGUAGUUGUUUUAGGUUCUGUUGUAGUAACUGAAUCAGUAGUUGUUUGAGGAGUUAUUGAUUCCGUUGUUGUUUGAGAUUCUGUUGUAGUCACUGAUUCAGUUGUUGUGAGAGGUUCAGUUGAAGUUACUGAUUCAGUUGUUGUUUGU